GCCGCGCGGGGGAUGCUGCGCCGCGCCGUGGGACCUGGCGUGCGGGUCUCCGCUCGGCUCUGUUCCGGCGCCGGGAUGCCCAAGAAAGCCGGCGCGACGAACAAGGGUAAAAACCAAAGCAAGGAACCAGAGAGACCACUUCCUCCUGUAGGCCCUGUGGCGACUGAUUCUAAAGGUUGUGUCACUAUUGCCAUACAUGCCAAGCCUGGCUCCAAACAAAAUGCUGUAACAGAUCUGACGACUGAAGCCAUAAGCAUAGCGAUUGCAGCACCUCCUUCAGAGGGAGAGGCGAACGCGGAGCUCUGUCGGUAUCUUUCCAAGGUCUUAGAACUGAGGAAGAGUGAUGUGGUUUUGGAUAAGGGUGGUAAAUCUCGUGAAAAGGUGGUGAAGCUAUUGGCCUCUACAACUCCAGAAGAGAUCUUGGAGAAAUUAAAAAAGGAAGCUGAAAAAAAAUAAAGGCAAGAGAUGAAGAGUACAUCCUUGAGGGGCUUGUGGAGGUGGAGGGUGAUGAUGCGUGUGUACACGUGAGUUGAGUGCAGGCACACGGACGCCAGGGUGCACGUGUGGAGGUCAGAAGUCAACCUCGUCUUCAUUCUUGUUGAAGGCAGACUCGUUUCACUGUUCACCACUGACUGCCUAGCCUCGGAGCCGCCAGGUGAUUCUCCCAGCUGUGUCUCCCUGCUUGCUGUAGGCACACCGGGAAUACAGACCCUAGUGCUGGAGCACCCAGCUUUCUAUGGGAUCCAACCUCAGGAACCAAAGGCAAGAAGAACUGGGAGGCCUAGCCAAGAUCAUGGUGUUCCUUAAUUGACAAAACAUGCCUUAAGUUCAAAACGUGCCCUUCUGAGCUGUUCCAUACUGCCUCUAAAUGUGCUUGUUCUACAGUCUUGGGAAAAGAGCUUUUUCCCUUUCCUUUUCCACACUUCCAGUAGGUGUCACAAGGGUUGGACCUGUGCAUUGACUGAACUUGAGCUCGUUCUGCUCCGGAGGCAGGAGCAGAGAUUUUGGACAUCUGAUGGGGGGGGGUGCAUUCUAUUCCUCAUUCUCUGGAGAAUGUGGGACCAGAGACUGUGGGUGGCACCUUUGCAGUGUUUAAGGUUCCGAAAGCUCUAGCAACACAAGCUUUAGGAGGAAGUUUUCUGGGUUGGGGACUGCCCACAUUCUGUCUUACAGUUUUCACAGUGCGGUGGCAGUGUGGUGAGCCCAGCUGCCUUUCAUCUUACAGUUUUCAUGAAUUUAAAUUGUUCCUUAAUUGUAAAUACAGAAUAAAAGUUUUAGAAUCUA